AGUGAACGCUGGCGGUAGGCCUAACACAUGCAAGUCGAACGGCAGCACAGUAAGAGCUUGCUCUUACGGGUGGCGAGUGGCGGACGGGUGAGGAAUACAUCGGAAUCUACUUUUUCGUGGGGGAUAACAUAGGGAAACUUACGCUAAUACCGCAUACGACCUACGGGUGAAAGCAGGGGAUCUUCGGACCUUGCGCGAUUGAAUGAGCCGAUGUCGGAUUAGCUAGUUGGCGGGGUAAAGGCCCACCAAGGCGACGAUCCGUAGCUGGUCUGAGAGGAUGAUCAGCCACACUGGAACUGGGACACGGUCCCGACUCCUACGGGAGGCAGCAGUGGGGAAUAUUGGACAAUGGGCGCAAGCCUGAUCCAGCCAGACCGCGUGGGUGAAGAAGGCCUUCGGGUUGUAAAGCCCUUUUGUUGGGAAAGAAAAGCAGCAGGUUAAUACCCCGCUGUUCUGACGGUACCCAAAGAAUAAGCACCGGCUAACUUCGUG
rnacentral:rRNA from 1 species